ACGAUGACAAAUUCGAAGAGAAAAUCAAGAACGUCCAUUAAAACUUCAAGCUUUCAAACUCUUCUUGCUUCAAUUUCCUUCUUCUUCUUCCAAUCGGUUGUUGUCUGCAGGAAAAUUUGCACGUCGUUGAAUCUGUGUGGUGUUGAGGCUUGUGUGAGAUUGAUGCGAAUGAGUAGAGAGAAUUGUGAGGUUUGGCUUAGAAUGGCUUGAGGAAAAUCUCAUGAAGGUCCUGGUAUGAAACAAGGCAUGGGUCAAGUCAUGGUAUAGUGAAGAAUUUUGAAUACAUGUAUGCACAAAGAAGGAAUGAAGAAGGAAAAAGGGAACUAGGUCUUAGGAUUAGACAUUUGACCGAAAGUCAAUCCUAGGACAAGAACAUGUAAAAUUGUGCACUUGUAAUCUGGGUUUUUGUGAUGUAUUUUUACAUUUAGCAAUGAAUACAACUUCUUGAAAUGAA